GACGAACCGAGCGAACGUUGUUCGGAAUCACUGGGCUUAAAGGGCGCGUAGGCGGGCAUCAAAGUCUAUGGUGAAAUCCGGCAGCUUAACUGUCGAACUGCCGUGGAUACUGGGUGUCUCGAGGGAGGUAGGGGCGCGCGGAACUAUUGGUGGAGCGGUGAAAUGCGUUGAUAUCAAUAGGAACUCCGGUGGCGAAGGCGGCGCGCUGGACCUCUUCUGACGCUGAGGCGCGAAAGCCAGGGGAGCAAACGGG
rnacentral:rRNA from 1 species